rnacentral:rRNA from 1 species
UACAGAGGUCUCAAGCGUUGUUCGGAUUCAUUGGGCGUAAAGGGUGCGUAGGCGGCGCGGUAAGUCGGGUGUGAAAUCUCGGAGCUUAACUCCGAAACUGCAUUCGAUACUGCCGUGCUUGAGGACUGGAGAGGAGACUGGAAUUUACGGUGUAGCGGUGAAAUGCGUAGAUAUCGUAAGGAAGACCAGUGGCGGAAGGCGGGUCUCUGGACAGUUCCU